CAAUUUACAGCCCUCUUUACCACUAAUUAAGAGUGUCAAACUGACAAUACCGAAUACCAUAAUUAGCAUGACAAUGUUUAAAGGUGGUAGCUGUUGAGUUAUAUAUUCAAAUAACACCCAAUGAAGAAUGUAAUUGAUAAUCUUUACCUCUUUAGGGAGCAAUGAAAUGAAGUCUCGUUGAAACUGGGGUUCUAUCACUUGCAUCAUAUGUUUUACUUGUGUUGGUUCACAACUAUCAAUGAGUUCAUCUAAAGCAAGCAAUUUCUCUGGUCCACUCCAGCUCUAUCAAAGAGAAUUAGAAAUUUUUAUUGUUUUAACAGAUGUCCCAAAUUACAGGCUUAUAAAGGAAAACUCAUAUCUACACACAACCAUAGUUGAACAGGGUAGAACUGUAUAAAAAGUGGCUCCUUAUAGUGACAUUUUUUCCACAAGGCAUUGAAGAAG
rnacentral:antisense_RNA from 1 species